AGGGAGCGCGGUCCCCACAGAGAGCUGCCUUGGCUAGCAUGGCGGCGGGCGCGCUACGCGGCCUGCCUGUGGCCGGCGGAGGCGAGAGUAGCGAGAGCGAGGAUGACGGCUGGGAGAUUGGGUAUCUCGACCGGACGUCUCAGAAAUUGAAAGGGCUGUUACCCAUUGAAGAAAAGAAAGAAAAAUUUAAGAAAGCAAUGACCAUCGGAGAUGUUUCAUUGGUCCAGGAGCUCCUAGAUUCUGGCAUUAGUGUAGAUUCCACCUUUCAGUAUGGAUGGACUCCCCUUAUGUAUGCUGCUAGUGUUGCCAAUGCAGAGCUGGUUCGGGUCCUUUUGGACAGAGGUGCUAAUGCAAGCUUUGAGAAGGAUAAGCAAAGUAUUUUGAUAACUGCAUGUUCUGCUCGUGGCUCAGAGGAACAGAUCUUGAAGUGUGUAGAACUACUACUUUCAAGAAAUGCUGAUCCAAAUGUUGCUUGUAGGAGACUUAUGACCCCAAUCAUGUAUGCUGCUCGAGAUGGUCACACCCAGGUUGUUGCUCUCCUUGUUGCUCAUGGAGCAGAAGUUAAUACCCAGGAUGAGAAUGGUUACACUGCUUUAACGUGGGCAGCACGUCAAGGUCAUAAAAAUAUAGUUUUGAAGUUGCUUGAACUUGGAGCUAAUAAAAUGCUACAAACCAAAGAUGGAAAGAUGCCAAGUGAGAUUGCAAAAAGAAACAAACAUCAUGAGAUCUUCAACUUACUUUCUUUUACUUUAAAUCCAUUGGAAGGAAAACUUCAACAGCUAACUAAAGAAGACACUAUUUGUAAAAUAUUGACAACAGAUUCUGAUAGAGAAAAAGAUCACAUUUUUAGUUCAUAUACAGCAUUUGGAGAUCUGGAAGUAUUUUUACAUGGUCUUGGACUUGAACAUAUGACAGAUUUACUAAAGGAAAGGGAUAUAACGUUAAGACACCUUUUGACCAUGAGGGAAGAUGAAUUUACAAAGAAUGGUAUUACCAGUAAAGACCAGCAGAAAAUUCUGGCUGCUCUUAAAGAACUACAGGUAGAAGAGAUACAAUUUGGAGAGCUAUCUGAAGAGACAAAGUUGGAAAUCAGUGGUGAUGAGUUCCUCAACUUUCUUCUCAAAUUAAAUAAACAGUGUGGCCAUUUAAUAACAGCUGUACAGAAUAUUAUUACUGAGUUACCUGUAAAUUCUCAAAAGGUAUUCUACAAAAGUUAUUAAGUGAAGAAAAGUAUGAACACUGAAGAACAUUCCAGAUAAGUUCAUGAUAAUUCAAUAAAUAGUAUUGAUUUGCUGAAAUUAUAUCGUUUGUUCUGCAAAAUCACAUAAGAUCUAAAUAAGUCAAUUUGUUUAAUAUUACUCCUUUACAUACUGAUUUUAAAACUUUGUACUCUUGCCCUCAAGAAAAAGAAAACGAGUCAGACCAAAAAUUAAACUGAUCCAUGUAUUGAAUUUACCAUGUGUUCUUGUUUAAAACAUAAAGUGACAGGAGACCCAAGUGAAAAUGGAAACAAAACAGUGUGUUAUUUAAAAACCAUAUCAAUAAAAUAUUUUUAAAUAAAUUUAGAAUAGGAAGAGUGUAAGUGGCCGGGCAUGGUGGCUCACAUCCGUAAUCCCAACACUUUGGGAGGCCCAGGUGGGAGAAUUGCUUGAGGCCAGGAGUUUGAGACCAGCCUGAGCAACAUGGUGAGACCCUGUCUCUACAAAGAAUUUUUAAAAAUUAGCUGCGCAUGAUGGCAUGUGCCUCUAGUCCUAGCUGAAAAUUAGCUGGGCAUGAUGGCAUGCACCUGUGGUCCUAGCUAUUCAGGAGGCUGAGGCAGGAGGAUCACUUGAGCCCAAGAGGUUGAGGCAGCAGUGAGCCAUGAUUGCACCACUGCACUCCAGCCUGGGCAACGGAACAAGACACUUUCUCAAAAAAAAGAAAGAAAAAGUGUAAGUGGCCUGCAAAAGCAGCUUAUUUCAUGUGAUUAGGUUUUAGCUGUUUGUCUUAGUGAAAAUUUUUUAAUGCACUUGUUUUCCAGUGAUUUUUAUAUAACAUCAAUUAAUAUUAGAAUCGUCAUUUUUAAAACCUUCAGGAACUGAUUUGUUCAUCAUAAAUGUUAUUACUAAUAUUAAUCUCCAUAUAGAAAGUUAUAUAUACAUAUGUUCAGGAAAUACAUUUGGCAAGCUCAUUUCAUUAUAUUUUUAUAAAAUUACUUAUUUUUGGUGUAUUUAUCCUAAACAAAAAAAUGCCUUUCAAUUAUAUAAUCUAAUGUUUAAGAAUGUUGUAUAAUCUUUGUGGAUAUAAAGUUGUAGAAAGUUAUUUCCAUUAUUUAAUGUUGAACUUUUGAAAAUAUUAACAGAUAACACUGGAAUGGGCGUCUCCCCGGAAUUUUACUUCAGUUUGUGAAGAAUUGGUUAAUAAUGUUGAAGAUUUGAGUGAAGAGGUCUGCAAACUAAAAGACCUAAUUCAAAAGUUGCAAAAUGAACGGGAAAAUGAUCCAACUCAUAUACAAUUAAGGGAAGAAGUAUCUACAUGGAAUAGUAGAAUUUUGAAGAGGACAGCUAUUACCGUAUGCGGAUUCGGUUUUCUUCUUUUCAUUUGCAAGCUAGCUUUCCAGAGAAAAUAACCCAAAUAUUUGUUUUAAGUUAUAUAUACACAUCUUAUUGAAUCAUCCAAAAAUCAUUGCUUUUAACUAUUUGCGGCACAAUAUAACUUUACAUUCUUUGCCAUUAUUCCAUAGGAAAAAUUUUGACAAUGUGGAGAUUUUUUUUUUUAAAGUGGUUUGUUACUUUGACUUAUAAAUACAAUUUGUUAUGUUUAUGUUAAUUGUGAUUAGGCAGUAAAGUAUAAGUAAUUUUUUGGUUUCAUCGUAUGUAAAUAACAUUCAAAAUUAAAGUUAUAUCUAAUAUCUUUGA
rnacentral:sRNA from 1 species